CUAACGUGUCCUUUGUGUGGCUAACCAGACAAAUAAAUUAUUUUGGAGACUGAGUAUUGGGUUUGUGAUCUUGACUGAACAGACAAAUGAACCAGGAUGAACCUUGCUGUAAAAACAGCUGAGAAGUGAGAGGGAGCUGUGGUCCUCAUGGGUUUUCUCUCCAACACAUGGUAAAUAGUCUUGCUGAUUUGGAAUUCUAGGAGCUAUAGUCCCAACACUUUUAGAUGAUGCCAGGAUGGUGACAGCUGUGCAGAAUGAUUGGAAAAGAGGGUUUUGGUGAACUUCUCAUGGUUCGAGUCUGGCGUUUUUGCACUUAGUACAGCUGCGCAGAUCUUUGAGAAGGUGCUUUGCUUGGUCUGAGCGAAGUGCUCUUUUGAAGUUGCUUCACAAAGCAACCUAACUUCAUUUCUAAGAAGGAAGUGAAGCAUCCACCUUAUUUUCCUCCACCUGCUUCAUUUACCUCUUCUGCAGCCUGCUCCAACCCUUGCCUUACCCAAAAGCUGCUGAAAGUCUUGGAAGAUGCAUGUGAGCAUGGAAGCAGAAGGGUACAAGUGUUAUCACUCCCCCACUGGACAAACUAGGAUUGCAGCCUUUGGAUGUUUUGUACUACCGCUGCUGCAACGUGCUGGGAAUUCUGACCAACACAUUUGGAAACAGGCUGUGGAAAGCUGCCUUGCCACCAAAAGAGAUACUGUUCAUUCCCCAAAGGCAUUUGUGAGCAUAACAUUGAUCAGCUCCUUUGGAUCUUGCAUGAAGCCCUGAUUUAGAAAGGAGAAUUGGAGAUGCAAUCUAUAGUAUCAGCAACUCUGGGGGGAAAACUUCUUCAGUUUUCCUGUAAAUGACAGUAACAAAAACCAAGCGGGAGGGAGAGUGAUUGUAAUAACCUACGUUGUUAGAAGAGGCUGAGUGCAUCAUAGAACUGGUGGACAAAGUACACGAAUGUUUCUUGAAAUCUCUUGCCUGAGAAAAAUGGACUAAGCAGGACUUCUGGGGAAGAAAUGGUGAAGACAGCUCUGCAGAAAGUGGAGCCAAUGACUAC